rnacentral:rRNA from 1 species
UACGGAGGGAGCUAGCGUUGUUCGGAUAUACUGGGCGUAAAGCGCACGUAGGCGGCGCCGUAAGUCAGGUGUGAAAUCCCCGGGCUCAACCCGGGAACUGCACUUGAAACUGCCAGUCUUGAGUGAUGGAGAGGAUGGCGGAAUUCCUGGUGUAGAGGUGAAAUUCGUAGAUAUCAGGAGGAACACCGGUGGCGAAGGCGGCCAUCUGGAAAUCUACUGACGCUGAGACGCGAAAGCGUGGGGAGCAAACAGG